UACGUAGGGCGCAAGCGUUGUCCGGAUUUAUUGGGCGUAAAGAGCUCGUAGGCGGUUUGUCACGUCGGUUGUGAAAACCCACGGCUUAACCGUGGGCUUGCAGCCGAUACGGGCAGACUAGAGGCAUGCAGGGGAGAAUGGAAUUCCUGGUGUAGCGGUGAAAUGCGCAGAUAUCAGGAGGAACACCGGUGGCGAAGGCGGUUCUCUGGGCAUGUCCUGACGCUGAGGAGCGAAAGCGUGGGGAG
rnacentral:rRNA from 1 species